ensembl:lncRNA
GCUCUCUCUAGCAGAGGUCUCUGUUAAUAAUAAUAAUGCUGUAUGGGUUAGAUUUAUGCAAAGCAACACAACAAAUACCCAAGUGUACAACAUGACAGACAGCCCACUUAAUCACAUUCCACCUCUCUGCUGGCUUUCACGCUGGUUAUCUGAUACGUGUAGCAAAUGCACUAAGUAACAAAGUCAGUGUUAAUGGGCUUUGCGGUGUCUUCAGAUUCCAGGCCUGGUAUGCAGGAACACGGUAAUGAUACAUGUCUCAGUGCCUUGCUUGACUAAGUUACACAUUAUGCCGGUUAAACAGAGGAGUGCUUCUCAACUUAGGAGUCCAGUUUCUGGGCAUUGUCUUUGUUCUUUAGGUUUAUUUUCGUGUGGAUAGAAUCUCAAGUCCAUCUGGCCAAAUGGGGACAUGGCCUACUUUUACCUAAAAUAUUUCUCUUCACAGUGUCUGCAGCUACUGACAUUUACACUUGUUUUGGGGUUUUUUUUGUUUGUUUGUUUGUUUUUUGUUUUUUGAGGACUGCAGAGAGGAUUGUGGUGUGAAAGAUCUGUAGAUGACAUACACUCUACAUGCAGUUUAAAACGAAACAAUGAAAAGGAAAUGCAUCAGUAAUUAGUACAGAAUGUCUCAGCAUAAAUUCCCUUAUCUCCCUUAAAUUCCCUUAUCUGAAAUGUGCUGGUUAUUCAGCUCAUUUUCUAACAAUAACAUUUUAGCAUGUGAAGAUGUUUCACUCGUUUCGUGCUGAGAGUUCCAAAAUAGUCUGUAUUGUCUACUAUCAGAGAAGCAGUUGUUAAAAUCAAAGUAAACAUAAGCUACAAGUGUGGGCGUAAAUCUGUGGCACUUUCCUCCUUACUUACAUUUCCUGCGUUCACGUCUAUCAGCUCUUCAGCCUCACUGAGCUCGGUGCUGCUGCAGCCUCCGGGGAAACACCUUGAUGGUUCCUCCUCUCUUGUUUUUUGCAAAAAGUCAGACGCUGUUGAUUUUCUCAACAGUGCUGCCACACAAACAGGUGAGGCAGAUACAUUAAUUUAACACCGAAUUUCCUCUAGAUGUAAAUAUUCUGUCCUAUCGUAAAAAC